GAUGAACGCUGGCGGCGUGCCUAAUACAUGCAAGUCGAGCGACCAGACGAGGAGCUUGUUCCUCUGACGUUAGCGGCGGACGGGCGAGUAACACGUGGAUAACCUACCUAUAAGACUGGGAUAAUUUCGGGAAACCGGAGCUAAUACCGGAUCAUACAUCGAACCGCAUGGUUCAAUAGUGAAAGACGGUUUUGCUGUCACUAAUAGAUGGAUCCGCGCUGCAUUAGCUAGUUGGUAAGGUAACGGCUUACCAAGGCGACGAUGCGUAGCCGACCUGAGAGGAUGAUCAGCCACACUGGAACUGAGACACGGUCCAGACUCCUACGGGAGGCAGCAGUGGGGAAUCUUCCGCAAUGGGCGAAAGCCUGACGGAGCAACGCCGCGUGAGUGAUGAAGGUCUUCGGAUCGUAAAGCUCUGUUAUUAGGAAAGAAAAAAUGUGUAAGUAACUAUGCACGUCUUGACGGUACCUAAUCAGAAAGCCACGGCUAACUACGUG
rnacentral:rRNA from 1 species